rnacentral:rRNA from 1 species
UCUUCCCUCUUUCUUCGUGCCUAAUACAUGCAAGUCGAGCGAACAGACGAGGAGCUUGCUCCUCUGACGUUAGCGGCGGACGGGUGAGUAACACGUGGAUAACCUACCUAUAAGACUGGGAUAACUUCGGGAAACCGGAGCUAAUACCGGAUAAUAUAUUGAACCGCAUGGUUCAAUAGUGAAAGACGGUUUUGCUGUCACUUAUAGAUGGAUCCGCGCCGCAUUAGCUAGUUGGUAAGGUAACGGCUUACCAAGGCAACGAUGCGUAGCCGACCUGAGAGGGUGAUCGGCCACACUGGAACUGAGACACGGUCCAGACUCCUACGGGAGGCAGCAGUAGGGAAUCUUCCGCAAUGAGCGAAAGCCUGACGGAGCAACGCCGCGUGAGUGAUGAAGGUCUUCGGAUCGUAAAACUCUGUUAUUAGGGAAGAACAAAUGUGUAAGUAACUAUGCACGUCUUGACGGUACCUAAUCAGAAAGCCACGGCUAACUACGUG